rnacentral:rRNA from 1 species
GACGAACGCUGGCGGCGUGCCUAAUACAUGCAAGUCGAGCGGAGUUAUUUUGGAAGCUUGCUUCCGAAAUAACUUAGCGGCGGACGGGUGAGUAAUACGUAGGCAACCUGCCUGUAAGACUGGGAUAACUGCCGGAAACGGUAGCUAAUACCGGAUAAAUCAUUUCGCCGCAUGGCGGGAUGCUGAAAGACGGAGCAAUCUGUCACUUACAGAUGGGCCUACGGCGCAUUAGCUAGUUGGUGGGGUAAAGGCCUACCAAGGCGACGAUGCGUAGCCGGCCUGAGAGGGUGAACGGCCACACUGGGACUGAGACACGGCCCAGACUCCUACGGGAGGCUG